rnacentral:rRNA from 1 species
UCAAGCUGAAAAGAGCGCAAGGGGAAUGCCUUGGCAUCAGGAGCCGACGAAGGACGUGACAAGCUGCGAUAAGCCACGGGGAGGAGCAAAUAUCCGAUAUAUCCGUGGAUUUCCGAAUGGGGGAACCCGCUCAAGCAAUACUUGAGCAUCGUGCGUUGAAUCAAAUAGGCGUACGAAGGGAACGGCCUGAACUGAAACAUCUAAGUAGGGCCAGGAAAAGACAUCAACCGAGAUUCCGCUAGUAGUGGCGAGCGAACGCGGAGGAGGCCAAACCGAGGGACGCAAGUUCUUCGGGGUUGCGGACAGACAUCAAGACCAGAGGUAAUUAAGAGAACGGCGUGGGAAAGCCGGCCACAGAAGGUGAGAGCCCUGUAUCUGAAAAUGAAGACUGGCAGUCUGGAUCCAGAGUACCGCGGGACACGUGAAACCCCGUGGGAAACCGGGUGGACCACCAUCCAAGCCUAAAUACUACCUGAUGACCGAUAGAGGAGCAGUACCGUGAGGGAAAGGUGAAAAGGACCCCGGGAGGGGAGUGAAAGAGAACCUGAAACCUUGUGCUUACAAGCAGUCAAAGCACGUUAAAGUGUGAUGACGUACUUUUUGUAGAACGGUCCGGCGAGUUAUAGUAACGAGCAAGCUUAAGGUAUUGAGUACCGGAGGCGAAGCGAGAGCGAGUCUGAAUAGGGCGUAAAGUUCGUUGCCAUAGACCCGAAACCGGGUGACCUAUCCAUGAGCAGGCUGAAGUGAGAGUAAAAUCUCAUGGAGGGCCGAACCGACCCCCGUUGCAAUGGUGGCGGAUGACUUGUGGAUAGCGGAGAAAUUCCAAUCGAACUCGGAGAUAGCUGGUUCUCCCCGAAAUAGCUUUAGGGCUAGCGUUAUGUUAGAUUACCGGAGGUAAAGCACUGAAUGGUGGCGGGGCCGAUAAGGUUACCAAGACCUAUCAAACUCUGAAUGCCGGAUAAUUGAUGCAUAGCAGUCAGACAGCGUGAGAUAAGUUUCGUUGUCAAAAGGGAAACAGCCCAGACCCACAGCUAAGGUCCCAAAUUCAUGCUAAGUGGAAAACGAUGUGGAAUUGCGAAAACAACCAGGAUGUUGGCUUAGAAGCAGCCACUCAUUAAAAGAGUGCGUAAUAGCUCACUGGUCGAGUGACUCUGCGCGGAAAAUAUAACGGGGCUAAGCAUGCAACCGAAGCUUGGGAUUGUCUAAAGACAGUGGUAGGGGAGCGUUGUGUACGGGGUGAAGUCGCAUCGGAAGGAGCGGUGGACUGUACACGAGUGAGAAUGCCGGAAUGAGUAGCGAGAAUUAUGUGGGAAUCAUAAUGGCCGAAAAUCUAAGGUUUCUUGGGGAAGGUUCGUCCGCCCAAGGUAAGUCGGGAGCUAAGCUCAGGCCGAGAGGCGUAGGCGAUGCACAUACGGUAGAAAUUCCGUAACCACCGAAACUUAAACAGAGGGACACUUCGAAAUAGCGGAACCCGGGCGUUGGUUGACCCGGGCGAAAGGGAGCGAAAUUAGAGUAGCGAAGUCCGCGAUGCCUGGAGGCGAGAAAAGCUCUGAGGUAUGCUAAGGUGCCCGUACCGCAAACCGACACAGGUAGAUGAGGAGAGAAUCCUAAGGCCAACGGGAGAAGGGUUGUUAAGGAACUCGGCAAAUUGACCCCGUAACUUCGGAAGAAGGGGAGCCCCGAAAGGGGCCGCAGUGAAUAGGCCCAAGCAACUGUUUACCAAAAACACAGGUUUAUGCUAAAUCGAAAGAUGACGUAUAUGAGCUGACGCCUGCCCGGUGCCGGAAGGUUAAGAGGAGAUGUCAGGCAACGAAGCAUUGAAUUGAAGCCCCGGUAAACGGCGGCCGUAACUAUAACGGUCCUAAGGUAGCGAAAUUCCUUGUCAGGUAAGUUCUGACCCGCACGAAUGG